rfam:Schistosoma haematobium scaffold1992_1, whole genome shotgun sequence.
AUCUAGCUAACGAGUCCCAAAGAGAACGAAACACGCGUCUUGUAU